CCAACGUCUGUUCCGGUGCCCGCCUCCCGGCUGGCGCGCUGGGCGGGGCGGGCGGGCGGAAGAGGCGGAGCUGAGGAGCUCGGGCCGCGCCCGGGAGGCUCAUGCAGGUGGUUCCGCCGGGGAUGAGUCCCCGCGAGGCCCAGGUGCGGCAGAGAGCAGUGCCACGAGCCCUUCGCUGGCCUGGCGUCCAGGUAGCUGAGUCAGGGGAACAAGGAAGUCCAAAGAUGGCAUGAACAGACCUGACAUUUGGGGAUUGGCUGGCAUCCUGUGCUAAUUUCUGAGAAGAGCUGUCAGUUCCUGCAAUUUAUGUUAGUUCCCUCAUCCUGUUCCUCCCUCCCUCGAUUGUCACUAGCAGUGGUGGCACUGCAGACCUGCCCAAAUCUGGAUAUGUUUGGCAUUUGUCAUGU